rnacentral:rRNA from 3 species
UACAGAGGUGGCAAGCGUUGUUCGGAAUUACUGGGCGUAAAGGGCGCGUAGGCGGCCUACUAAGUCAGACGUGAAAUCCCCCGGCUUAACCUGGGAACUGCGUCUGAUACUGGAAGGCUUGAGGAUGGGAGAGGGAUGUAGAAUUCCAGGUGUAGCGGUGAAAUGCGUAGAUAUCUGGAGGAAUACCGGUGGCGAAGGCGGCAUCCUGGACCAUUACUGACGCUGAGGCGCGAAAGCUAGGGGAGCAAACGGG